UCGCAGGGGAAUGCUGAAAAUAUAGGACUUAAUUCAUUUUAGGUUACUAUAGGAACUCUGGUACCUAUAGGCGACACUCAGACGCGCGCGCACUCAGCAAACCAGGGAAAGCGCGCGCGCGCGCAAGAGGCAGAGAGAGAGGGGGAGAGAAAGGGAGCACGCGCGUGUGAUUGUGAUUGGUCGCUCGGCUGCCUGCUGCUGGUGUGACGUCACUGCAGGAGAGAACUGCCAGAGGAGGAUGCAUUUAGUCAGAAACUAGACUCUCUCAAGUCGGAGAGAGAGAACAUCACAUCCACAGAGCGCAGAAGGGGACGGAAUGAGAGCAUCGCGUGCAGGUUACAAUAAAGCAAACCUUGCAUCUCCUCUCGCGUCCACGCACGAACACUGUAAGCAUGCUUUUCGAGGGUGGAAUUCCCCAUCUUGGAGAUUAAACUGCCUGUUCCAUUCCCUGGAUGGCUGAGACGCAACAUUCGAUGGCUGAACACUGAAGGACUGCGAGUUUUGAGUGGAAAACGCGUCACUGAAGAAGAGUUCUGACUAGACGCGUCUGCGCUGCUCACAGAUUUCAGCGUCAUGUUCUUGAACGCGAGACGCACACGGGAACCUCUAUUUGUCCCCGACACACGGACACUCGUAGCUUACUUUCUGACUGAGAGGAAUAUGUACGUCAAUUGUUAAAAGUCAACUUUAUGAGAUGUGCCCCGUUUAAAAAGUGUUGACAGGAGGUAGUUGCUGUCUUUGGUUAUCUAGCUGUAUGAGUGUUUAUCUUCCUUCAUAAAGCUAGAUAACCGAAAGUAGAAACGUCCUCCUUAACUGCAUGUGGACCAGUUCAGUGGGAAGCAAUGGGAAACUGCACGAGAUUACUGUAGCCUCUCAAACUGCAGUGUCUUUGUGAGAGACCAGAGGACUGGAGCUAAGGGAAAAAACGCCAUCUGCAACUGCCAGCCAUUUACACUGCCUUUUUGGAGCAAGAGGGAGAGAGGAAAAAAAUGGCGCAAUUGUCCAAAUGAAAGAAAAGAAAAAUAAUAGUCAACCCUCAUCCUUCUUCUACCAGCUCCCCUCCCUUCUUCUUCAACGGAAGCAUUUAGUGCCAUCUGUGCCCCCGGAGAAAAGAGGGAAAAAAAGAAAGGAGUGAGAGUCUACAUCCCAAGUGCCAAUGGGGACAAAGAGGCUGCCAGUUGCCACGGACCACCAGAUGCUGGAAGACUGCAAGUCUGAAUGAGGGGUGUGCUUUCAGGAAGCCAUCUUGAUGGAGAAACUGGCUGCUGCUCCCUAAAAUGGCUGUGUUGGCAUGAGGCUCCUGAAAAAUUCCCAUCAGCUGCCGGAGAAACUACGUUUGACUCGGAUCACCUCAGGAAUCCAGCGUCCAGCAUCUCUUCCAGAUGGUUGGCUGUGAAGAUUAAACAAGCAGACAUGAGGGAUGGAUGGUUUUAAUUGAUUUAACUGGGUGUCUUAUAACCGCCUUCAAACAAUCACUAAUACCAGAUGGGAAUAAAUUUGGCCAGUUCACCCAGUUAAUUCUUAGAUAUUAAAAAACGUGUCAUGCAAUCUUAUUAGUUUUGUAUAAACUGAAGAGAAUAAUGUGCCUUAAUGUGUGAAAUGUUUACUGUGAAAUUUGGCAUUGUUGAAACAAAUGUCAAUAUCUGUUAUUUUAAUGCUUCUUUGUUUUACAUAAAAUGUAUGAACUUUAAUGCUAUAAGGGGCCUCGUUUAUAAAACGUGUGUACGCUAAAAUCCACGCCAACGUCCAUUGGCUAUUUACAAAAACGGUCUUUGACGUGGAAAAGCGCGUAGCUUCACGUCAGGUUCACGUCAGACGUACGCACUUUUCCUUGUGGCAGAGAAUCUGAGAACUGCAGGUAUUUGGAAAUCUAUGCAAUUCUUGCCGCUCGCCAUUCUCAAGUAAAGCAUUUCGUGCUCUUUUAUAUGCUAAUGACAUUAAUUAGGCGGCGUUUACCAGGCGGAAAUCUGAAACCAUUCAGCUGCGCACAAUUUCAGCAUCAUUUGCGAUUUAUAAAUUUCACGUUUUUUGUGCGUACGUUCGUUCUGUGAAUCACACGUAGGCCUACGCACAAUGUAGGACGGUUUUUUAUAAAUAAGGCCCUAUAUUUACAAAAUGUACCCGUUUUAUUUGAUAUAUAAAUAUAUAUAUAGCAUUCAUGACUAUGUAUGGGGUUUAAUACAUGUAUCUCUGAAUUAUAAAUUUGUUUAUUGUAUGAUGUAUGAACGAAACUACUAAUAAACGUGGAUUAAAGCUA